CUUUCAUCACGAUGAGAUGAAUGGCCAGCUCCAUAAGCUGAACUUAGUUCUUCCUACCCUAUUACAAUGGCAGACCAGUAACAAUUUGUUACUUUGGUACAGCAAGUGCAGACUCUUAUGGCUGCCGUCCAAAGUCUCCAAUAGAUGUCGAAAAGGUGCCAACAAUAGCUUGAGGAGCAAGGUCCCAAUGCUGCUCCAUCUCGACACAACUGCUGAUCUCAACC
rnacentral:lncRNA from 1 species